CAGACAUGCAAGUCGAACGCGAAAGCCCCUUCGGGGGGCAAGUAGAGUGGCGCACGGGUGAGUAACACGUAGGUAAUCUACCUUUGGAUUGGGAAUAACCACCGGAAACGGUGGCUAAUACCGAAUAAUGCAGCGGCACCUAAUGGUGACAGUUGUUAAAGCGGGGGAUCGAAAGACCUCGCGUCUAAAGAGGAGCCUGCGGCGGAUUAGCUAGUUGGUAGGGUAACGGCUUACCAAGGCGAUGAUCCGUAGCCGGCCUGAGAGGGCGGUCGGCCACACUGACACUGACAUACGGGUCAGACUCCUACGGGAGGCAGCAGUCGGGAAUUUUGGGCAAUGGGCGAAAGCCUGACCCAGCAACGCCGCGUGAAGGAUGAAAUCCCUCGGGAUGUAAACUUCGCAAGAACGGGAAGAAUAAGUGAGAGUUAAUAUCUCUUACGAUGACGGUACUGUUUGUAAGCUCCGGCUAACUCCGUGCCAGCAGCCGCGGUAAUACGGGGGGAGCAAGCGUUGUUCGGAUUUACUGGGCGUAAAGGGCGCGUAGGCGGCCACCGCAAGUCGACUGUGAAAUCUCCGGGCUUAACCCGGAAAGGUCAGCCGAUACUGCGGGGCUAGAGUGCAGAAGGGGCAACUGGAAUUCUCGGUGUAGCGGUGAAAUGCGUAGAUAUCGAGAGGAACACCUGCGGCGAAGGCGGGUUGCUGGGCUGACACUGACGCUGAGGCGCGAAAGCUAGGGGAGCGAACGGGAUUAGAUACCCCGGUAGUCCUAGCCUUAAACGAUGAAUGCUUGGUGUCUGGGGUUCUAUAGUCCCCGGGUGCCGUCGCUAACGCUUUAAGCAUUCCGCCUGGGGAGUACGGUCGCAAGACUGAAACUCAAAGGAAUUGACGGGGGCCCGCACAAGCAGCGGAGCAUGUUGCUUAAUUCGAGGCAACGCGAAGAACCUUACCUGGGCUUGACAUGUAGGGAAAAGCCGUAGAGAUACGGUGUCCUUUUGGGCCCUACACAGGUGGUGCAUGGCUGUCGUCAGCUCGUGUCGUGAGAUGUUGGGUUAAGUCCCGCAACGAGCGCAACCCUUAUCCUAUGUUGCCAGCGCGUAAUGGCGGGGACUCGUGGGAGACUGCCGGGGUCAACUCGGAGGAAGGUGGGGACGACGUCAAGUCAUCAUGCCCCUUACGUCCAGGGCUGCACACAUGCUACAAUGGCCGGUACAAAGGGCUGCUAUCCCGCGAGGGUGAGCGAAUCCCAAAAAGCCGGUCUCAGUUCGGAUCGGAGUCUGCAACUCGACUCCGUGAAGCUGGAGUUGCUAGUAAUCCCGGAUCAGCUACGCACGGGGUGAUACGUU
rnacentral:rRNA from 1 species